rnacentral:misc_RNA from 1 species
GGGGAUAUGAGCAUCUUGAUACAAAGAAACCUUACAACCUUGUCUCUGUGAGUAAUAUGUAUAGGGAACUCCAGGAAAUUUACGACUUCUUAUACCACGACCCCAGUUGCGAUCUUUAGUAACACUGAAGUAUUGAAGCUUUACAUGAAUCUUUGAUUCUCCUUCAAUUGGAUUUUUCUCUUCAUCUAAGAUUGGAACCCAUCUGUCAACUUCCUCCCCAUCCAAGAUGUCUUCCACAGGUACAUAUGCACGUCCAAUCAAAGUUGCACCAAUGGGAUUAUCAUCCUUCACGGUGAAGAUAACAUUUGAUGCCUUAUGGGCACAGUAAAUGUGAAAAGAUUCAUACCAUCUUGGAUUAGAGGGUUCAGUUUCCAAUAUUCGUG